GUCUAUAGCCAUACCACCCUGAAUGUACCCGAUCUCAUCUGAUCUCAGAAGCUAAGCAGGGUCGAGCUUGGUUAGUACUUGGAUGGGAGACCACAUGGGAAUACCAGGUGCUGCAGGCU